rnacentral:lncRNA from 1 species
AGGAAUGCAGGAAGAGUCUCGGGAUCAGGAGCCCACAGGCUGGACUCACUCCAGCUUCUGCAGAGUCGGAACGAAGCCUCAGGAGGGAUGGCUCCACAGCAAGAAUCACCCUUUGGUUAACCCAUGACAACCCUUGGCGCAGCCAGGGGCUUGGCUACUGGUUCUGGUGCUCCGUGGCGCAGCUCAGGACCUUAGAGUCUGAUCAUCAGUUCGGAUCAGAGAGCGGCUUGGGCCGCCAGCACCUACCUGAGGCUGUAGCAGCCGUGGCCUCUGCUUUGUCUGGAACCAGCCUGAUGCCAUCAGACACGUCCACCUGGUGAUCAGCCUCCUCCCUUGAGGCCCCAUCAUGCUGUGGUGACAGAGGAUUGCUUCUAA